UACGGAGGGGGCUAGCGUUAUUCGGAAUUAUUGGGCGUAAAGAGCGCGUAGGUGGUUUUGUAAGUUGGAAGUGAAAGCCCAAGGCUUAACCUUGGAACUGCUUUCAAAACUGCAGAACUAGAGGUUGAUAGGGGAUAGUGGAAUUCCUAGUGUAGAGGUGAAAUUCUUAGAUAUUAGGAGGAACACCGGUGGCGAAGGCGACUAUCUGGAUCAAUACUGACACUAAGGUGCGAAAGCGUGGGGAGCAAACAGG
rnacentral:rRNA from 1 species